UACGGAGGGUGCGAGCGUUGUCCGGAAUCACUGGGCGUAAAGGGCGCGUAGGUGGCGCGGGAAGUCAACGGUGAAAGUUCGGGGCUCAACCCUGAAUCGGCCGUCGAUACUCCCGGGCUCGAGCACUGUAGAGGCAGAUGGAAUUCCGGGUGUAGCGGUGGAAUGCGUAGAGAUCCGGAAGGAACGCCGGUGGCGAAAGCGACGCACUGGAUCUCUUCUGACGCUGAGGCGCGAAAGCCAGGGGAGCAAACGGG
rnacentral:rRNA from 1 species